GAUCAUGGCUCAGGAUGAACGCUAGCUACAGGCUUAACACAUGCAAGUCGAGGGGUAGCAGGGUAGCAAUACCGCUGACGACCGGCGCACGGGUGAGUAACACGUAUCCAACCUUCCCACAACUCAGGAAUAGCCUUUCGAAAGAAAGAUUAAUACCUGAUGGUACUUAUAUAAGGCAUCUUAAAUAAGUUAAAGAUUUAUUGGUUGUGGAUGGGGAUGCGUUCCAUUAGAUAGUUGGUGAGGUAACGGCUCACCAAGUCUUCGAUGGAUAGGGGUUCUGAGAGGAAGGUCCCCCACAUUGGUACUGAGACACGGACCAAACUCCUACGGGAGGCAGCAGUGAGGAAUAUUGGUCAAUGGGCGAGAGCCUGAACCAGCCAAGUAGCGUGAAGGAUGAAGGUCCUAUGGAUUGUAAACUUCUUUUAUAGUAGAAUAAAGUGAGCCACGUGUGGUUUUUGUAUGUAUACUAUGAAUAAGGAUCGGCUAACUCCGUGCCAGCAGCUGC
rnacentral:rRNA from 1 species